AGCAAACCUAAGCACACAUUUUCCUUCUCUCUAAAGGAGCAAAGCCUAGGAAUCCAUGGGAGCAGGCAAUAAAUGGGGAGAUGGAGAAAGAGACUCCUUUACUGCCAAUUACAUCAAUGCCAAUGGCGUCCCUUUAAAGCACAGCAGCCCCUUGGAGCAGCCGAACCCGUCAUUACUGUGGAUCUAGCUCCCACCUGAAUUCCCUCUGUUGUAACUACUUAAGGGGAGGCGCUGGGUCUCAAAUCCUACCCACCUCUUUCAGGGGUGACUUUGCUGUACCUCCCAUCAAGAGCUGAGACCCUCUCUCCCCUGCUGGAAUCCAAGCUGGCCCUGAGAUUCACUUUGGUCCACAGAGCACCGUGGAAGUGACCCUGCAGAACUUCCCAGCCUCGCAGCAGCUACCCUUCUCUUGAGGGGCACUGCUGUGACAUCACCAUGACAUGAAGACCCUGGGCCGUGUGGAGAGAGAGGCCCCUACCAUCCAGCCCCAAGCUGCUGCACCAGUCAGGUUAAUAUUAAUUUUUGCUCAAGACGGGAGUCGGCUUUCUUGGAAGGGAGUGCAGGCGCAUCCUUGGGAGCUAUCAGCUCUUCCAGAAGCCUUGAACCUGUUCCAGGAGCAAAGCGAAAGGCAGAGACCCCUGGAGGUUCUCCAGCACAGACACGCUGGAGGUCCACUCCUAAAACUUUGCAUUUUCCGAAUAUCACAGAAGACAGACGCUGGAUCUGCUCCAAAGCUUGCUAUUGAAUUUUAUGCCUGCUAAGCUCUACUAAAUACAUAAUGAGGAGGCCGAAUUAACUAUGCAGAAUUGUAAUUUACAGUUAAUGUUUGUAAUUGAUGAGCUGCGGGUCUCUGUGGCAGCGCUAACUGCUGAGAUGAGAAGGCCCUGAAGGGAUAAAGGAAAGUUUCCUCUUUGAAAACAGAAGGCUUCCUCAACCAGCUUUGUGCCCAUUCAUCCAGCAUCCAGCCACUGGACACUGACCAACACGGAUUUGUGCCAGACACUGUGUGAGAGACGGGGAAGUGAGCCAUUGUGGUCCUCAGCACCUGUGGGCGACCCAGGAGUCCCCAGACUCCUGCUGUCCACUCACUGCUUACUUGGCUACAGACACGGUCCCCUUGGAGUUGAGAAAGUGCUUCUCUUUGAACUUGGGGGUGCAGACCACAAGUACUCUGGAGGAACUUGAACUCAGAACCUCUGCUGUCUUAUUUAAGAUGCUGAACCCUGAUUGAUGGCAGGAGGGCCUGCUGGGCUUUAAGGAGAUACCAGUGCUUUUUAAAAGUGGCCUUCCCCUCUCUCUUUCAGAUUGGGCCAGCAGGGGGUGGGCCUAGAUGUCCCUCUUCUUGUUUGGCAAAGCUUCUGAGGACACUCCAGAUGGCGAACCGGGGCUUGGAGAGAUCAGCUACCGACCCAGGUCCCCCCGCAGCCAGUGGGCCAAGUGGAUUUGAACCAGGCUGGCCAGGUCUCUCCCACCACCUGGCUGACUCCGCCUCAGCUUCCCCGUUUCUCCCACCUUCUCCUUGCUCCUCGGUUCAGCGUCCUGUCCAGGUCUAGAGCAGUUCACAUCCCUCUGAGGCCUUCUGACCACCCUGGGGCCGACUUGCUUCUCUCUGGAUUCCACAGCCCAGGGGUCAAGACAGUUGUCCUGGCUCCUUCUGGCUCACUCGUCUCCACCCCGAUGGCAGGGCCCUGCUUGUCAUUCUCUUCCUCUCCCUGUCACCUGCCCAGCAUGCAGGUGGGUAUGAGCAGGCGGCAAGCACAUCUGAGUGGACUUUGUGGUUGGCUCCCAGUCAGCCGGGGGUGGGGAGCAGAGCUUCUGCCAGCCAUUUCCUUCAGCAGGACUUAUCAGGGUUAUUUCUAUGUAUGUGCAUGAUGAUUGAUGGGUAAGAGAAAUCGUACUGUCCUCCAAAUCUAUUCAGCCAGAGACCCAAUCGAUAUGUUUGGAGGAUGUUAUGGCUCAGAUCUCACAUGGCCUCCAAAGGCUUGCAUGUUGGAAGCCUGAUCCCUAGUGGACAGCACUCUCUGGAGGAGGUGAAGCCUUUAGGAGCUGGAGCCUAGUGGACAGAAGUGAGUCUUGGGGUGCAUGCCCUUGAAAGGACAUCGUGACUCUGGCCCUUCCUCUCUGCCUCUGCUUUCUUGGCUGCUAUGAGGUAAGCAGCUUUGCUCCACCCCAUGCUCUGCCAUGAUGUUCUGCCUGGCUACAGGCCCAUGGCAGCGGGGCCAGGAGAGUGUGGACUGAAACUUCUGAAGCCCUGAACCAAAAUAAACCUUCCUCCUUUAAA